GAGGCCCUUCCCGGAGUCCAGUCACACGGGUCUCGGCCAGGGCUCUACCUGCGCUCAGGAUUGGAAAAGCUGUGCGCAAUGAGGGGCGCGUUGGUUCUCCGCAACGGGGAGCAGAAACCGGCCUGGGUCAGCCAGUGGACAGGUUGGAAGCAGAGAACUGAAAGGAAACCAACACCCUAGCGAGGCGAAGGGAGAUUUUAAAGGCUAAAGCAGAAGGAUUUCAAGUUCCAGCCGGAUUCCUUAGGGAGCAUUUGCCUCCAUAAAAUAACACUAACUGUUGUCAAGUGACAGUGAACUCCAGUGACCAUCAGACAAGGGUCAGCAUAGUCCUCACCCCUCAUCAAGGAAACUUCCUUUGGCAACAGACAUUGGCCAUUACAGAAAACUUCAGCCAAUCAAACUGCAGUUGUGGAGCCCAACCCCAGCAGAUACGUCUACAAAACAACUCCUGCAACUAAGCUCAGGGAUCAUUGUGAAGGAGAGAAUGGGAAGGUUGUAAGAUCCAGGGGAUCAAGGAAUUUGCUAUGAGACAGUGUCUCCUAGAGACGUCAGAAGCUACAUCCGUGAAGUCUCACCAAUGUGGCUGCCUAAACGUGACCUGAGUAAUGACACCAAUAGCCAUGUUAGCACGGAUAGGGAAAGCCAGAGCGGCUACACCCUUACACAAACACCUGCAGACAACUAAGGAAUGCUGGGACUGGGAAAAAUAGUCUUCCCCUGGGAAGAGCACAGCAAUUGUUAUCCCAUACCACAUGGUCAGCACUGAAAACAUAAAUAUACAACUAAUAUUAUACAGGCUGAGCCAAUUGCAUUUACACAUUUAGGUAUAUACAUAUACACAUAUAUGUGUGUAAUAACAACCAAGUUUUUUUGUUUUUGUUUUUGUUUUUUUUUAAAGGUCAUGAAUAGGAAAGAAAACAAUGGGAAGAGUAUAUGAGAGGGUUUGGAGAGAGGAAAGGGAAGGGGAAAGUGAUGUAAUUAUAAUCUC
rnacentral:lncRNA from 1 species